CCCCCCCCCCCCCCCCUCCCUUUUCCUUUCUUUCUUUUUUUUUUUUUUUACAGACUUAGGAUGGCUUGUCUUGUUAGUUACUUUUCUUCCUGCCAGCCCCCAUCCUCAAGUUCUCCAAUGCAACUUCAGAGGAUCAUCUUUGAUACCUCUGCAUCUGAAUAAUAUGGUUUCUGUCCCAUGCUGUAGCUGACGGUAGGAUGGACUCUGAGUGCAACUGAGAGGUUGCUUCCUCCAUAGUUUCCUAUUGCAUCUCAUACUGGUUAGGGUAAGCAAUUACAGAGGAAAUUUGACUUCUCCAUGGAGUAGUGUGUGCCUGACAGCUAGCUGGAGACAGCACACACGGAAUUGAGUCAGUGCUCCGAGUGCGGUCUUGAGUUGCAGUAAAGGUAAAACAACUGCAGACUGAUAGUUUAGCUUCUAAGGAGCAUAUACAGAUAGCAUGUUUGCCUCUAAUACUUAAAAGGCGAGGUUCUGAGAUCAUAUUUCAUGGACUGCUUCCUAUAGAUUUCAAGAAAUCCAAUCGUUCUGAAGUAUAGCCGUGCGCUAUUAUUAUUUAAAGGGAACAAACUGUUUUGAAACCCAUUACGUGGGAAGGAACCGAGGGCGGAAGUGACGUCAAGGCGUGCCUUCACUGAGGACCAAAACGGCUCCAUGAUUGGCUGGACCGUGAGGGCAGAUGUAGCGUCACGGCUAGCCUUCACUGAGGGCGGAAACACUCCGUGACUGGCUCGGAGGAACCCAGGGCGGAAGUGCCUUGCAGGGCUUGCCGGCACUAUGGGCGGAAGCUGUCGGGCCGGGCCGGGCUCGGCUCGGGCCAGGCCGCCGAGGCGCGGUGCUGCAACGAGGGCAGAAGCAGCUCCCCGCCGCAAGGACCCCUGUGGGGUUUGUUGCCGAGCGAAGGUGGCGCAUUGGCUAAACGGAGGAAAGCUGCAGCUGGCGUGCUGCAGUCGCAGGUUUCCCAGGAGAAAGAGCAGCCCGUCUGUCCAGGUACCCACCCCGGUGACGCUCCCGGUCCGCCUGGUCCCCGGAACACCCACCCCGGUGACCGCCCCGGGCCCCCCAAGUCCACCACCCAAGGACCCACAACGGUGAUUCCCCAGGAUCGUCGUUCACCCCGGAUGACCCUCCCCGCUGACCCCUAUGGGCCACCCAAGUCUCCGGUGGACACAUGCCGUUGACCCCUCCGGCCUCCCUGGUACCCAGAGGACCCACCCCGGUCACAUCCCCGGGGGCCCGCUAGGACUCAAACCAGUGAGCACCCCUGGGUCCCCGGGGGCCCCCGAGUACCCACCCUGGUGAUCACCCCCGGGCCCCCCAGGCGCCCCGGAGGACCCGCCCGGGUGACACUCCAGUGUCCCUCGAAGGCUGCGGAGGACAAACUCCGGUGAUCCCCCUGGGACCUCGAGGUCCCCGGAGAAGCCACCCUGGUGUCCUCCACAGAUACCAGAGGUCCCCGGAGGAACCAACUCUGGUGAACCCCUAGGUCCCCCCAGGUCCCCAGACCACCAACCCCUGUGACAACCCAGAGUCCCUCGGAAGCCCCAGAGGACCUAUCCCUGUGAUCCCCCCCACCCGGGCCGCCCAGGGCACCGGAGGAGCAAAGCAGGUGAGCCCCACGGGAUGCCAAACUCCCCGGAGGACCCAAAAUUGUGUCCUCCCUUGGUCCCCUUGGUCCCGGAGGAUCCACCACGGUGACAACCCCGAUUCCUUGGGCGCACGGUAAGACUAAUCCCGGUGACACCUCCGGGCCCCCCAGGUCCCCUGAAGUGCCACACCGGUGAAAGCCGGAUUGCCUGCGGGCGCCUUGG
ensembl:lncRNA